rnacentral:rRNA from 1 species
GACGAACGCUGGCGGCGUGCCUAACACAUGCAAGUCGAACGGAACUUCUUUAAAGGAUUUCUUCGGAAUGAAUUUGAUUAAGUUUAGUGGCGGACGGGUGAGUAACGCGUGAGUAACCUGCCUCUAAGAGGGGAAUAACAUUCUGAAAAGAAUGCUAAUACCGCAUAAUAUAUAUUUAUCGCAUGGUAGAUAUAUCAAAGAUUUAUCGCUUAGAGAUGGACUCGCGUCCGAUUAGUUAGUUGGUGAGGUAACGGCUCACCAAGACCGCGAUCGGUAGCCGGACUGAGAGGUUGAACGGCCACAUUGGGACUGAGACACGGCCCAGACUCCUACGGGAGGCAGCAGUGGGGGAUAUUGCGCAAUGGGGGAAACCCUGACGCAGCAACGCCGCGUGAAGGAUGAAGGUCUUCGGAUUGUAAACUUCUUUUAUUAAGGACGAAGAAAGUGA